CUAAGUUUGCGUUUGGAUGAACAAAUGAAUUUAGUAUUUACUUGAAAUCACAGUGAGGAAGUACCUUUCAAACUACGGUUUUGCUCUAAUCUUUCAAUCAUUCUCUAAUUUAAUUUUCAAUAUCUUGCUAACCUUCAUUUGUGGAUGAUCUUCACUUCUGCUUAGAUGAUUUUUGUGUAUAUUCUGUAUUCCAUCUGGAGCUGGAAUGGAAUGUGUCAUUGCUGAACCCUGGGCUUGAAUGGGAUGCAUCAUUUUUUGAUGAACCGGUUCUUCUCUCAAUCCUAAGGCUAACCGUGAGGAGAUGACUCAAAUAAUGUUUGAAACCUUCAACACUCUUGCUAUGUAUGUUGCUAUCCAGGCUGUUCUCUCACUUUAUGCCAGUGGUCGUACUACUGGACAUGGAUGGAUAUAAUUUGUGCUCGGAUUUUGAUUAUUUUGCAGUUAAUUUGGAUUUAUUUUUUUUCUGCUUUUCUGUCGCUUAUUUUGAUUUUGAUUUUUUUUUUUUUUUCUAGGUAUGCAUGCAUCACGCAUCUGAUUUUGGACAGUCUAGAUUAGCAUACAGGCACCCCGUUCUUCUAUCAGAUGAUAUUAUCUUAUUUAUGUUGUUGAGGAAAUUUUGCUUCAACUUUAGACUGAUUAUUUCCUGUAGGAUGUGUAGGAACCUUUCUUCUUAUAUUAUGGUAUGUUCUUUUACUUUCGAGAUGAUUCUUCCUGUUUCAGGCUUUCAGCUAUUUUUUGUUUAAAGCUCUUUUCUUUUACUUUUUCAUAUAUUUUAGUGGACCCAUGAACUUUUUCAAAGAUCAUUGCUAGGCUGAGAGCCUGAUAGUAGGUUUAUCUACUGGAGAACUUCAAGGAAAAUGGAAAUUGUGAGGAAGACACGCCGAGAGCCUAUCUGUUUAUUGCCUUUUCGGCCUGAUAGCAGUGUUGAUGUUUUUCCAAUUGUUUGUUUCUUAAGUUAGUGAUUCUUUUAUUUUAUUGUAUAUGAAAAACAAGUACAGGAACUACUCGGGACCCUUUUACAAGUUACCUACAUUUAGCUUGAAACCGCAAGAAAUACUAUCUAAGCAGAAGAUCAGGGCCUAGAUUUUAGUCUCCAAUAUCAUUUCAUGAUAAUUCCAGUUUGCAUACUGUCAAACCAUAAAGUAGUCUGCAUUGCUAGAAUAUAAAAGAAGCACGUACCUUUGUUUUUUGGUGCAGCUUAUGACAUUGAGUGAGGCACCAUUUUUACAAUGUGGAAGACAUUGAAUCAAGAACAACAAUUUGUUCAACCCUACAGACACAAAUAAUUAUUAAGUUUACAUGGGUUUUGUGGGAGUGUUAAUUUGUUGAUCUUUUAUUUCUUUUCUUAGGUUGGAUAUUCCUUUUCGCUAUUAUUCCUAGUGUUGAAUUGAAAUGUCAGACAUUCAUUACUCUUCAGAUCUGAAUUGAAAUGUCAGACAUUCAUUACUCUUAUUUUGCUGUUAGUGUUGCCUCAUCAUCUAUCAUUAAUUCAAAUCAACAGGUCGUUUUCUUUCUAAUUUCUUGAUGGAUUUUUUCUUCUGUUCACAAUCCAGCCUCAGUGAGUUAUAGGUGAACUAUAAUAAUGAGCAAUCUAGGUGCAUCUGUCAUAUGCUGCCGGGUCUCUCCAAAGCAGAAAGCCCUGGUAGGAUUUGUGAGCCUUUAUUGAUGUGACAUCGUCAUGUUUGUUCUAUUUCCUUUCAAUGAGACAUUGAAUAAUUCUUUCCAUUGAUUUGAAUCCCGAGAUGGGUCUUGUUUUUCAGGUGAUGGGGCUGUGUUUUUUGUCGUCUGUAUUGGUUGCUAGCCCCAAUAGAGUGCUUUGCCAGAAAAGUGUAGUAGUAGCUGCAACAGCUAAUGUGAGUGAAAGGACUGUUACAAUCAGUCGUGGGUUUUAAUUUGUGUGUUUAUAUGUACAUAUGAAUGUGUAUGUAUGUACGUGUGAAAUUUUGUAAGUUUUGAGUGUUGGAGGUGAUAUACAACAAUGGAUUCUGAUUUGGGUUUUCAAUAUUUUAAUGUGGUUGUCUUCUUUUUCAAGAGGUUGUUUGAUUUUUUGUGGAAUUUGAUUGAUGGGUCUGAUUUAAUUGUUGUUUUCUAUUGGCAGUGAGAUCAUGAUAGACUUCAACGAUUGCUCAAAACAAGUCGGUGCUUAUGUACAUUGUAUGGGCAAGUUGGGCCUGUGGCAGGCCAUAAUUGUCAUUCAAGCAGAGGAGUGAAUCUAGACCCAUUAAGCAAGUGGUCAAAGGGAUUUGAGGCCUUGUCCUACAUAAAUGCAGGGAAACAUUUUUAACCAUUGCAAUUUAAUUCACUCCAGCAUCACCAUCUGUUUCAUGCUGAACUAAAGAUAUAACACAUUGUGUUGGAAAUAAAGGCCUAUUGUGUUUCCUCUUCGGCAUGAUGCAUUUGAGGAAAUUUAUGUUG